rnacentral:rRNA from 1 species
AUGCAGUAGCCCAUGAGACUUAGGUCGGGCACAAGUGGUUGACGUGAGAAUUGCAACCAUGCCGGGAACUCCAUAAUGCUUAGAGUGAUUGAAUCACGGAUGAAGUAUCCCGUGAGAUUGAGGUCGGCUUUAGAGAAGUGCACCUCAUGAUCAAAUCUCCUGAGGAACCUAAUACUAAGCAUUGUGGUUCAUUCUGGUGAUAUGCAGAAGGCCGGCCUAUUCGUCCACAACCUUACCCAAGACCUGGUGAAGGUGGAGAACAUCCUGGCAUAGGCUGAGCUCAAGGGACAGUGCCUAGAGCAGCUAGCCGAAAAUACUUUAGGUAUGUCAUAUUGUAUGUUUUAAUCUUUCGCUUCAAUUUUUUAUACAACUCGAAUUAUUGCCAAUGUAAUAUUGUUGCAUUUUGUUAGUGGUGAAGAAGCGUGUGGCCAAGCCGGAAUCUUAGCUCCAAACUGCCCAACAAUAGGCCCAGGCCGCCCGGGAAGAAGCUCAACAUUCCCAGGGCAUGGCUCAGAAGAUGUCUGCCCUCCUCGAAGAAGAGCACUUGCCGGGCUGCCCGAUAUGCAUUUGCCCUUCUCCAGCAGAUCUUAACAAGCACAUCGAGGACUACGACUAGCUGAGGGUCAAAAGGCACACCAUGGAUGAUGACCUGAAGAAGCAGACCUUGGACCUCAAGGAGGCUAAACUACGCUAGGGUACCGGCGAGGACGAGCUUAGGCAAGCUGACAACGUCCUUGCCAGUAAGGUGUAUCUUCUGUAGUGCACUUUUGGAUGCCGACACUACCCCGAGCUCACACAAACUUGGUGUGAUUCUGAUUACUUCGGCGAUCUACCCAGAGUGUUGCCCACGCACAUGUCUUCUACCAAGGGAGCCCUGAUCCUGAGCAUGGGAAGUGCCAAGCUUUUUGGGGGAAAUUUCAGGACGUCUCAUGUCCUGUUAUUCUUGCUGAUAAGCUCAAAUAGCUCAAGGAGCUUCAAGCUUUCUUCCGUAUGGCGAUCGAGGUUAUUUUUCAUAUGUUGUGCCCCGGGGAAGCCACCUGGACACUCUCUUCAACCUUGUUCUCUGUCUUCAGGGUGCUCCUUUUUGGAUCGACUUAUAGAAGUACUCGGUUGCCUGGGAAGGAGCACCUCAGGUGUGGGCAAUGCUUCAGGACAACUUCCUUGAGCUCAACAUGCUUCCUAUCACGAAGUCGAACCCCUUGGGACCAGAAUGCCAGGGCGUGCUCCCGAACAACUUCUUCUACAAGGUCAUGGAGAUGCCUGGCUGACCGAGCAAGAUUCCCUCGAGAAAACAAUAGGGUAGAUUAGUAGUAGUUUGAACAUGGAAUGCCGAUUAUGUGCUUGUAAAAAACUUUGAGCCUCAACUAUUGUAAAUAGUUCUGUUUCCAAGACGUGUUGGUCUGAAGUUUUAUGUUUGUGUGCUCCCGUCGUACCUGUUAAUGUUGCAGCAUUGGAUUUCGUAUGCUGUGACAACCAGGGUUUGAUUUCACCCACCUUAGGCACCCUACCAGGGAAACUAGAGGGGCAAACAAAGGGGUGCUUCCAUGCCAAUCUUAGCCGAACUGGCAGAAACAUAAGGGGCAAACAUAGGAGCAAGAAAACCCGAUUUUGCCAAAGACACAAGUCGAAAAGCACAACGUAGAAACUUGGCAAAAAUGACUAAGGAAGAAAUCACAUAGGCAGGAAAACUACCCGAUUGUAAGUAAGGGCUUUAACUACCACCCAGUUUGGGCCAGUGGAAUAAUUCCAACAACUCGGUCAAAAUCAAAAUAGGGUAAAUUAUUGAGCAUGAUGACUAAAAAAAAUUGGCCCAACAAGAAGAUAUAAGAUACCCCGAACUAGGGGUAUCAAACUUUAUUUGAGUCAUACUAUAAUGUCUGGGAUUGAGUUAAACAGUAAUAUAAGCUAAGAUAAAGAUAAAUAGAGCUAAGUGAAAACAAUAAUGUAACAGGGAAAUGCUCUAGGGAUUGAUCUUUAAGGCGCUUACUCAUGGCUUGUUUGGAUCUGACAAGAUCCUAUUUAGGAUUGGGUUGGUUCCCAUAGAAGUCAUCAUGGAAUAAUUCAUAGGGCGUGCCUUAGGUUUGACGAUAUUGUCGUCGAGCUAGAUUAAUGUUAGCUUUGAGCAUUUGGUGAGGAUGAUGUCGCAUUUUCUUACUUUUGCCUUCUUUUCGGAUGAACCCUUACCUGCCAAAGAUUUAGCUUCCGCCUCGGCCAUGAAGGCCACUUUCUGCUGCUUGGUCCUUAGGGACAGUUCAGCACUGCCCGAGAUUGUAAUGACGCCUUUUGGGCCUGACAUCUUCAACUUCAUGUACGUGUACUGAGGUACGACAUGAAAAUGCGUAAACGCGAUCCGACCUAUGAGGGCAUGAUAGCCACUCAGAAAGGUACUAUGUCGGAGCUAAAUGGCUCUAGCCGAUAGUUAUCAGGGGCAACGAACACCACAUAGAGUGUGACCUUGCCGGUGCAUCGAGCUCCAUGCCAGGGAUAAUACCCUUGAACCUGGUCUUGCCGAGCUCGAUGUGCCAUGAGUCGAACUGCAUCUUUAAGCAUCUCAGCAUAGAUGCGAUUUAAAAUGCCGCCACCAUCCAUAAGCACACUAGUGAGGUGAAAACUAUCCACAAUUGGGUCUAGGACGAGUGCAACAGUUUGCCAUGGCGGAUGCUAGUCGGAUGGUCUCGGCGAUCAAAAGUGAUCGGGAUUUCCAACCAUGGGUUAUAUUUUGGUUCUCCUCACUCCACAGUAUAGAUCUCAGGAAGAGCAUGCUUCCGAACCUUUUUGGAGAUAGGGGAUGCGUACAUCAUGAUCACAUUCUUUACCUCCGGUGGGAAUUGACUCCGGCCGCCAUUGCCCUGCUCGGGCUGCUGCAUGCCCCCGUUGUCACCAUGGGGCCAGCCUGUCGGGCUUGCUGCUUCCAAUUUGUAUGGCCUGCCUAUGGACCCAUCAAUUCUGGUUAAUGUGGGUGGCGGGCCGGUCUGUCGUUCCUGGGUGGAUAGCACAAGGCUAGUCCAGGAUCUUGUCCCGACAAGGGGCCUCUGCCACCUUUCCUUCCUUGGAGUGUCUUCUUCUUGCCACUUCUUCCUUGGUUGUUGAAUUCAGCAUUAACCUCACCAACCUCAACAUUGCUGCCACCUUGGUGCUUGUUUCGAUGGUUCCGGCGUGACCUUCCGUUCCCAUCCUUUACCUCAAACAUCUUGGGAUUGUUACCUUGGUCCUUCUUCUUUGCUAGCCAUGUGUCAUCACCGGAGCAAAAUACGGUCUUCAUUUCCAUGAUUUCAUGCAUGAUCUUGGGCUUGUAGUGACUGAGGCCCCUUGCGAGGAACUUUUCGUCGACACCAUGCUUGAAUGCGGGAUGGCCUCGGCGUCCUUGCACUCAACGAUUUCGUUUUUCGAUUCUUGACAACCCAGGUCCAGUAACUAUGUACUGAUUCAUUUUUUCUUGCCUCAUGCUACCUAGGUCACUGGCAUCCGCAAGUCAAACAUACGUACCCCAGAAAUUUUCCAUGAAUACAGCCUGAAGGUCUGCCCGACUAUCAAUUGAGCCGUCUAGAGAGUGUGCAACCAAGACGGAGCUAACCCUUUGAGCAUGAGGGACAUGUGCUUCAGUGUUGGUAGCCAUUACCAUUCGCCAUUGGUACCACUAGGAUAUAGUCAACAAUCCUAACCGUGGGACCCAAGGUGUCAUCAUAUUUGUCAUGCUUUUUUAUUUUAAAGUUCGGCGAGAAGGGAUGGGAAACUAUUCAAUCCGAGAAACAUGAAGGGCAUAGCACAGACGGGCCUCCAGAUCCUCGAAGGGCGUCAAUGGUGUGACGCGCAUCAUUUAUGCUUAUUGAUUUAUCAUGUUUGCUGGCCUCCUCACGAAGUCGAACUACUUGCUCGGCUGACGUCUCAUAGUGGCGAGGGGACGAGGUGCAUAGCGCUUGGACAGGUAGAUUGUCCGCGGAGCCUCAUACUAGAGUGAUCUUGGGAUCUUCUCCUUUGUACAUGAGCUCGACUUUUCCCUACACCGGGAGGCCGAGCUGCCGACGUGAUGAGAUGUCUCGGUGUGGAUCUUAAUGUGAUGGCCCACCGCUUCUGGAGCAUGCUUGCUUUUGUCAGCCCGCCUAUCGACAUGAUAGGCCCGUUGAUCUCCUGCACCAGGGUGCAGAUUCUAUGCCCACAAACAUUCUAAAAACUGCGUUGUGGUCCGCAACAAUAUCCAUAUCCUUCAUUAGGUUUCGAUCAUGCCCGACUGGUGCCUUCUUUGCCGCUCUCCACUGUGAUCACCCUUCAGGUUCUCCUCAUAUUGGAGGACUUGCUUCUAGUGAUAUUCGGGGUCCUGAAUUCUCCCAGGAAACCAAUUGUUGUCCGUGGUCACCUUACAUGCUAACCUAAGAAGCCUCAGAUGAGCCUCGUCGUAUCUAGGGCCUCCUAGAGACUCAUUUAGUAUUUCCUCAUCAUAACGGACAAACUCGCUUAGGGACCAAGGUUCCUCGUCACGCGGGGGCUCUCCCACUCAGGAUAACAGUCAGGGUCGAGCCAACUUCAACCUUAUUAAUUAAAUUUUGCAAACCGUGUGAGUGCCUUGCAUUUUUACUCGUGGGAGAUGCGAGGGGGGAGACAAGGUAGUGUAUGUUUGCAGUACGUAUGUAAAUAGAGUAAUGGUGGCACAUUCCUUUAAUUUUUAUGCGCUCUCUCAUCUUAUUUUUAAUAGACGCAAGUUGUAGCGUGUCUCUAUAAAAUGCUUAGUGCUUGCCGCUAAACCCCUUUACCCCUUCCUUUGAAACAUGCUCAUACAAUAGGGUAGGUCUACAUAAGUCUUGAAAGUAGAAACGAGCACUCACCUUGUUUAAGUUAGGUUUGCAUAAGUCUUUUAAAUACAAGUGAGUACUCACUUUUCUUAAUAUACUCUUUUUCCUUGGAGAUGACCAUCAUCCACCCGGCAACAAUUCAGAAAGCAGAUUUGUUGAUGGGCUUCGUUAGCUGGUUAUCCCAUAGACAAUGGUCUGGGUAGGAAUAUGGGUGCUCAUCGCUUUUAUUUGAUUCUUUUUAAGGCAAUUUUAUUCUUUAACUGUCUACGUUAUAUUGGCUUCUGUUGUAUAAGUUGUAUCUUGGUCCAAAAGCUCAUACUGUAUUCAUUCGUUCAAUUUGACUCUCCAGAGUUGUUGUGUGUGUAUGUUGUCAUUGUUGCGGACUAUUUUGAUUAUUCGUGUUGUGAUACCGACUGUUCCAACACAUGGCGUGCACGUUUCGACAUGUCCAUUAUGUGAAGGUGGAACCUUAGAAUCAUUAUUAUGCAAAGUGUACGGAAGGAUGUUAGAUCUACAUACUGCCGAUCCGGGGGUGCUACACUAUACACGGAUGUGUCUGGACAUAUCCGUGAACAAGUUGGCGGCUAAAUUUACCCAAUCCGAUUAGAGAUGCCCUAAUCACCUUUUCUCCCAACAAAAGGUGAUUUAUUAAUUCAUAAUGUCGUAUGAAGGGAUAUAGGCAAAUGAAUACACACCUGAAUUUUUGCGUGGCUAUGAUGAUCGCAACUAAACACACCCACGCACAUUGAGUACAAACAACAAGGUCAAAAAUGACCAAAUAGAGGUACUAUUUUUAUUUGCUUGUUGUAGCCUAGAUGCACGUCAGCUCAACUUGACGACUGACUGGAGUGAGCUGGCUCUAGAGACCAUUAGGGCUUCUAGGAGAAAAGAAGCCCAGCAAUUGCUAAAUCUACCCAGACCCCCUCGCCCCAACCACUGCAUUGGAGUUGUGAGCUGAGGGGAAGCUCGGUUGCUGGUAUGUGUGUUUUAGCAAUAUUCUGAUGAUGAGUUUUGUGGUCUUAAUGAAAACAUGCGAGCGUUGGACAUGACGUUAGUGAAAAUAAAGGUUAUCAGGUUCUUCCCCUGCUGUCGCGUUGCUUUUUGGGUGAGAGCAUGGAGCUAUAGCGAUGAUCUUGCUAUCGGUUUAGUGCAACCGCUCAUGCAAGGUUUAGGCAUAUGUCCACAAAGGACCGAUCGGUUGAGUUUUUAUCAAUGUGGUUUGGGUGCUUUUACUGGUUCACCUUUUUUGUGAAGCUAGAGUACUCUUUGCUUCGAAUUAUGGUGAAAAUCUUGCAUUUCGACAGCCUGCAGAUCUAGGGGACCAUCCAGGCCGAAGUCCGCCGGUUGUUUCUCUUUGGAUGGGCAAAGGCCUAUCUGAAACAUUUAUCUAUAAUCAAAUUUGUGCAGGUGUACAAGUGGUAGUGUAGCUACUCCGGUUUAAUUGUGGUGUUUUUGUUGAAGGCUUGGGAUAACUCUGUCUUCUUAGUUUUAGGAAUUACUUUGCAAUUUCUUGGAUCUUGGAUCCAGAGCAUUGUAUUUGUAAUGGUUAUCUGUUUGAAAAAAGUUACACACAUAUUUCUAAAAAAAUACUAGUUGACGCAGAAAAGAAAAGAAAACUUUACCGGCCAGGCAGGCAUGUCGCAAGCACAAGUAUAGUGUCCUGAUCUGCAGUGGCGGAGGACUCUGGUGGGCAAGGUCUAGUAGCCGUCACACCUCGAUUUGGUCCAGUUUUCCUUUGGCCGAUGCUAGGCGUAAGCUGGCUGAUAGCUUAGAGUUAUCAGCCGCCUUGAUAACCGUUCAAUGGUGCAAAUCCUAGCCGUUUCUUUGGUGUCCCAUGGAUCGCACUUCCCCUCAGUGCUAUCUUCCCCUCGCGCAACACAUGCAUCACCCACAGCUCCCACUGUCCCGCUCCAAGCACGGCAGCAGCAGCCUCGACGCCGUCUGAGCUAUGAUGCAACGGCCACCGGAGCUACGAUGCAGCGGACGACGACGCCGCCGCCGGAGCUACGAUGCAGCGGCCGCCGGAGCUGCUACACAGCGGUCAUCGAUGCCGCCGGAGCUGCGAUGCAGCGGUCCUCGAUGCCGCCGGAGUUGCAUUGCAGCGGCCGUGACACCGCCGGAGCUGCUAUGCAGUGAUCGUUGAUGCUGCCGGAGCUGCUAUGCAGCAGGCGUCGAUGCCGCCGGAGCUGCGAUGCAGCGGCCGCCGACGUCAUUGGAGCUGCUAUGCAGUGGCCGCUGGAGCUGCGAUGCAGCGGUCGUCGACGCUGGCGGAGGUGCGAUGCAGCGGUUGCGGCGCCGCCGUAGCUGCCAUGCAGCGGGCAUCAAUGUCUGCUGUCGUGGACGAGUUGCAUCACAGCAAGAGCAGUCGUGACGAGGUUGCAUCGCAACAAGAACAGCGCCGGCGAGGUGCAUCGCACCACGGUGGCCAUGGGCGAGUUGCUGCAUCGCAGCACGGCCGCCAUGGGCGAGUUGCUGUGUCGCAGCACGACGGCCGCGCGCGAGCGCCGCAUCCCAUCGUCGACAGCAACGACGAGCGGCCGCCUCGGCGCCUCAGCCCGCAUGUUGUGUCACCCCCGCUGGGUUGCAGCACUACGACGGUGGCGCUCGGGGGUCGGGGCUUCAGCACCCACCGUUUGCAACAGGGAUGUAGCAUUGGGUUGGCGCCGCCGCUCCUCCCUAGUUCACUGCAGCGAGCGGGGGUGGCCAGCAUUGCCAUGGCCCAUGGGAGAUUCUCUCCUUCGAGCGGGAGGGCUAGAGAUGGGGAGGGGAAAAAGAUGAGCGGCGAAAACGUACGGAG